GAUAAAAAAAAUACCUAAUUGGUUAAAAGCGUCCGCCUUGGAUGUGGGUGGUCGUGGGUUCGAACCCCGGCUGAGUCA